rnacentral:rRNA from 1 species
CGGGGAGGCGUCGAGCGGCGAACGGGUGAGUAACGCGUAGGAAUCUGCCUGAUAGUGGGGGAUAGCCCGGGGAAACUCGGAUUAAUACCGCAUAUGACCUACGGGUGAAAGCAGGGGACCUUCGGGCCUUGCGCUAUUAGAUGAGCCCAAGUCGGAUUAGCUAGUUGGUAGGGUAAAGGCCUACCAAGCCGACGAUCUAUAGCUGGUCUGAGAGGACGACCAGCCACACUGGAACUGAGACACGGUCCAGACUCC